ensembl:lncRNA
AUUAUUAUUUAGGGAACAUAUGCAGGAGUCAGUAGGCUAAUUAGCAGACGUCUGAGCACUCAGGUGGAGUGGAGCAGUCAGAUGGCUGGGCAGAACGACUGAAACUUUAGCGCUAAACAACCAUGGCUACAAAUACCUGCAUCUAAUUAAAUAUUAAUAUUUAAGAAUAAAACAACGACGACAACAACAAUAACACUACAUUACUGAUUUUAAAAAAUCAUUAUUAUUAUUAUUAUUAUUAUUAGUAGUAGUAGUAGUAGUAGUAGUAGUAGUGGUAAUAGCAGUGUAGUAAUAGUAGUAGUGGUGGUAGUAGUAGCAGUAAUAGUACUACAGUAGUGGUGGUGGUAGUAGUAGUAGUGGUGGUGGUAGUAGUAGUAGUGGUAAUAGUAGUGUAGUAAUAGUAGUAGUGGUGGUGGUAGUAGUAGUAGUGGUAAUAGUAGUGUAGUAAUAGUAAUAGUAGUAGUGGUAAUAGUAGUGUAGUAAUAGUAGUAGUGGUGGUGGUAGUAGUAGUAGUGGUAAUAGUAGUUUAGUAAUAGUAGUAGUGGUAGUAGUAGUAGUGGUAAUAGUAGUGUAGUAAUAGUAGUAGUGGUGGUAGUAGUAGUAGUGGUAGUAGUGUACUACUAGUAGUAGUGGUGGUUUAGUAAUAGUAGUAGUGGUGGUAUAGUAGUAGCAGUAGUAAUAGUAGUAGUAACCCCAUUAUUUUCCAUUAUUUUCAUAUUAUUCCACAAUAAACUAUAUGUACACCUUCGUUUUUUUUCCUCCCCCUCUCUUCAUCCGUUUAUUCAUCUCCCCUCUCCGCUAGUCAAGUAACUAUCCAGCAACUAUUAUAUUUAUCCCAUACUUUUCACACAAUAUCAUCAGUACAUGUUUUAAUAUUAUUCUAACUAGUAACCCUGUUCUUCAAAUACCCUAUUAUUAAUAAACAUUAUUAACCCCUUUUUCACUAUGGGUUAUGUGGCCAUGGUUGAUUAUUCAAUAAUGUGUGAUAAAGUGUACAGUAUUAUUACUUAAAGACUGUGAUUUAUUUAGAGACUACUGUGAAACUAACAGAGAAGGUGUGUAUUUAUAGACCGACACAUGCUUCCUGUUUAAAGGGUUAAUAUUCUGUUAAAAC